UCUACGGGUGGCAGCAGUGAGGAAUAUUGGUCAAUGGGCGCGAGCCUGAACCAGCCAAGUCGCGUGAGGGAAGACGGCCCUACGGGUUGUAAACCUCUUUUGCAGGGGAGCAACGGGCGCCACGUGUGGCGCCACUGAGAGUACCCGGAGAAAAAGCAUCGGCAAACUCCGUGCCAGCAGCGGCGGUAAUACGGAGGAUGCGAGCGUGAUCCGGAUUUAUUGGGGUUAAAGGGUGCGUAGGCGGAGCGUUAAGUCAAUGGUCAAAUUGAGGGGCUCAACCCCUUCCCGCCAUUGAAACUGGCGCUCUAGAGUGGAAGAGAAGUAUGCGGAAUGCGGGGUGUAGCGGUGAAAUGCAUAGAUAUCACGCAGAACCCCGCUUGCGAAGGCAGCAUGCCGGCUUUCGACUGACGCUGAAGCACGAAAGCGUGGGGAUCGAACAGGAUUAGAUACCCUGGUAGUC
rnacentral:rRNA from 1 species